UCCUCUGAGAGGGGAGCCAGGGGUGGGCCUCGCUCGAGCUGAGACUGGAUGGGAUCUGACAGUGUUAACAGGAUCUCCUGGCCGCGGGUGGGGAACAGACGUGGGAAGGGAGGGUAGAUGCUGGGCGGCUGUGAGGAGGCGGCUGCGAUGGCUUACUGUGCUGCCCAGCACGGUCGCCGCGAGCCACUGGCGUGUCCGAACUGAGAUGAGCUGUGAGGGAAAAACACACCAAAUAUUGAAGACUGACUGCAGCCCCCCAAAAAGAAUGCAAAACAGCACCACCUCCCUCCCCGAGGACCCAUUUUGCAGACGGGGAAACUGAGGCACGGGGCCAUUGUCUGGGGAGACUGGAACGAGCAGAGGAGAAAGUCUGGCUGUUGGAAAGACUUCGGUUCCUUUCCCAGUGGCCCAUUUAGGCCCCGUGUGACCCGACCGGUCUUAGUCUCGGGUUCCUCAUCUGUAAACCGGAUGUAACCACAGAACUCCCCUCACGACACUGUUGUGAGGAUGAAAGAAGUGAAUAAAUGCAA